rnacentral:rRNA from 1 species
UACGUAGGGUGCGAGCGUUGUCCGGAAUUAUUGGGCGUAAAGAGCUUGUAGGCGGUCUGUCGCGUCUGCUGUGAAAAUCCGGGGCUCAACCCCGGACUUGCAGUGGGUACGGGCAGACUAGAGUGUGGUAGGGGAGACUGGAAUUCCUGGUGUAGCGGUGAAAUGCGCAGAUAUCAGGAGGAACACCGAUGGCGAAGGCAGGUCUCUGGGCCACUACUGACGCUGAUGUGCGAAAGCUAGGGGAGCGAACGGG